rnacentral:rRNA from 1 species
ACGACUACAGGUGGGACUGGUUAAACUCGCGUCCUUCGUUUCGACUCUUAGCUACGGGUGGGUCGAGGCCGAAGAGGCCGCUCCGAUGGCUCGGCGGCGGCGGCGGCGGCGGCAGCGCCGCAGGUUCCGUCCCCGCUCCUCCUUCCAAGAACUACCUUGGGGGCGCCGCGAGCCGAAGGCCUACGGCCGACUCACCCUCGGCGUGCUGGUCACGACCUAACCCACCGGCCUGCGAGUUCCUAAAACCUCUCUACGCCGACGGGGACGAGUUUUUCGGAAACGUUUACAACAUCUACGUUAGAGUUCCAAACUCGGUCAUUGACAUACGACAUUGCGAUGGGUCCAUACGUCUGAGUAGGUAGUCUCUUAGAAAAAGAACAGACCUACUAAACAGUCUUUAAGUCCUAUGCUUAUAGUAGCCGAAGUUAAAAACAACGAAAGUGGGAUCUCCAAAUGGAACGAGAUAAAAACGUAGGCACCUCAUGCGCUCCCAUCAGGUAAACUACCUUGUAUUUAGGUUACAAUCUCACCAUCUCUACUCGCGAACAGAACAAACCAACGCACUAAACCCGGGGUCAAAACAGCACGCACUUCCGCUGUGUUCUAACUCCUCUCUUUAACGUCCCCACCUAACCGUCAUGUUACGUAUACCUCCAAUAUUACCAAAUAAACCCGGUCUUCUAGUAGUCGAGUUAUCCUCUUUUCCUGUACUUCUUGUAUAUUGACUUCUGUUGGAACAACGGUCCUUCCAAAACCUUAACCUCUCCUAAGGUUCCAAACUUUGGUUAAAACAAGAACUUCCACCUUCGUAAGUACAGCUGCCUCUUCCUUGGACAUAGUGGUGACUCGUCACAAAUACGGUACCCUUGUCUUUAGGGGUGUACUCAUUCCUACUCUAUCUCUUGGUCGACUUCUGAGUAGAACCACACAGCUUCCAGUAUACCAAUGGGUUUCCCGAAAUGCCCCUACUUUACUAGUCACCCGUACAACUGUUGUAUACGACGAAAUGACCAGGUAGGUGACAAGAGAAUAGUACCUAGCUGCUGUUUAGACUAGGAGUCAUACUCGUAAGUCGACGGCGUAAGCUGCAAGACAGGUUAUGGUGACUACGGUUCCCGGCCUUCAAUCUAUAAUAGUUCUAAGUACAGGGACCCGGUGACAUGUACUGACUUCUUCAUCGUGUUGGUAAAGAUCCGAGCCACCGUAAUCCCGUCGUCUCCAAUCGACCUAGCAUACACUUGAAGAUGUAGCGGUUACCACCCCAACAUCGUGGUCGGAAACCACUGUUCACCCUACUUCUUCGUGCGUUUUAAAACCUCUUUCACAAAGGGUUUGUGCUCCAUCACUACCACCUUCCCCCCUCCCUCUAACAGGAGCCUCCUCCUUUGUAAGUAACGCGCUGCGUCGUCGUUGGACGGCAAACGGGGGUAGGGAGACUACGCCUGUGGUACCUCCCAGUCCCAACUCCCUUCCCCGCUCUUCGACCGUGGUACUACCUGUCCGUUUUCUUUUCCUCUCCCCUUUUUAUGGUCGUAUAUGCCACCAUUACAACGGGUGAACUUCUAUCUGCUAAAUACGGACAGAGCACCAGAGUCCCUAGUCCCUAGUUGUUUAGGAUAUCUUCAGACGUUUGACUUGCUUCGUGUGCGUUUUCUAGUUCACAAAGAGAGAAGAAGAACAAACGUGUUUAGAGAAGAUCCAUUAUGAGGAUGCAUCAUCAUUACAAAAAUAAUAAAGAUCCAACGGAUAAAAAGACUUCGGAUCAAGUAAAAGGGAUUGGUUCGUAAGGGAAAAUCCGGAGGCAAUGUUGAGAUCUUUAACAAGUCCUUGAAUACUCACUUUAGUAUGUUUUAUCAGAAAAGAUACUUUUACAAGGUCGGAGAAACUAGAACGUCAAAGAAUUUUUAUUUAGUUUAUGAAAUAGUAUUAGGAUUUUUUUGAGAGACUUACGCUAGUUUAUCGGAAUACAACGACGCCCUUUAACUAGGCGUGUCGUGGUGUCUAAGGAGUAACCUUUUACGACUUAUCGGACUGUUGAUUGUGGAUUUAAUUAAACCGACUGGUCUUUAUGAUUAUGAUUGAGGGUUUAACGUGGUAGUUGUGAAACCCUUUUCGUGUUUCCUUACUCUAUGGUACAUGAUGGAGGCAGAGGGUUUUCUUCCGGAUAUUUAAAAGAGAAUUCAGUUUGCUACGUUUUAAAUUGGUUUUAAUAUCUUUUUUUGAAAUUUGUUGAUGUUAUGUUUUAAUCAUUAUGAUUUAUGUGUUAUUCUAUGUAGAAUAUAAUAUAUAUAAACUAUAACAUCAACACUUAUAUAAAAGGAUGUUUAAACCAGUUUUAAACGUGGUAAACUGAGCUAUGUUUUCAAUAUUCGGAUAAGAGUUGGCAAUCAAGAGGUUUAAAGGAUAUUUGGUGGAUUAAAACAUUCUCCAAAAAUUUUUAUACUUGUUCCAUUUAAAAAUAUACCUGCAACGAUUACAAACUAGGUGCAGUUUUAGAAGUAUUCGUGUUUAUGUAGUUUCUGGUUUCUAAACAAGGGACACGUAUCAUUAAGAUACUUCUCUAGUAUAUGUUUAUCCCUUUGAGAGGAAAAAAAUCUACUUAUAUCCCUUUGAGAGGAUUUAAGUAAAAAACUUGAACGUUUGAGAAGAGCCGUCAAACGGAGGUCUAAACUUUUUUUAUUUAUCUUUCUUCAUAAGUUUAGUAGGAGUUUAAGUGAGAAACCCUAUGUAUGGGGGGACUUGACUUUUGGUCCCGUUUAUUGUGGGACUUUAAUGAGUUUGACCCAAUUAUUGGGGGAACUCGCCAAAUAUACAUUAGACCUCGCCAAAUCCGACCAGUGUUACCCGUUCUUGUAUUCGAUCAUUGAAUGUGUGAAGAGAUCUGAUACAAUGAUGGAGGUAUCACACAUCCUUGUAGAUACAUCACAGUACGUUGCUACAUAAAUAAUCCAAUAUCUGGGUAACAAAGAACCUCAUACACUACAAGGCCAUUGAAUUCGAUCAAUGGUGUUCGUGGAGAGAAAAAUAAUUUAUACACAGUGUAUUCGUUUCAACAUAACCUCACACACUACAAUGACUCGUUCAUAUUAUCUCUACUCAACCGCCCGAUAUUCCUUAUUUGAUCAUAUAAAGACGAAUCAACCUCCUUUCUCUUCUCCUCUCUCUUCCAUUCGCCCGAGAAGUACUUCUCGGUCGAGAUCGUGCACGAGGAUACGUGAAACACUCUUACUUUCUACCCGGUGCAUUAUUUUUUUAUCAUGUGAAAAAACUAGAUGAUAACAUGUACAACGAAUAUUUUACCCGACAUAUACUGUGACCGAAUAUCGGUCGUCGACCGAUAUGAUAAUUGGUACGAGAUUCAAGGAGGGGGUCGGAAUACACGCGGGUACUAAGACUAAUCCGCGACUGACCCGUCUCUUGCGACUCAUCUGGUCCUAGCGUUGGGGGUUGUUUGGGGUUAGAGGUAAGAGGCGGAAAGAAAGGAAAGAACUGGUCGUCGAGGCCGCGGUCCCGGCCGGCCCUCCGACGACGCCGCUGGAGGUGAGUGCGGCGCGUCGGCCACCACCGUUUCCGCCGCGAGCAACCCUCGUGAGGCGCGCGCCGGUCCGGCUGCACGCGGAGGCGCGUCUUCUCGCCGCCGCCCCCGACGCUCCCCGUGGCGCGUACGGCCAUGCGGAUGACGAGGAAGUUCCCGGUGCGCGGGCGCCGCGGCGGCGACCCCCGGAAGGACCGCAGGGCCUCGUCUCGUACUUCGUGUCCCCACAGAGGCGCAAGGCGUUGGGGUUCUGGUUAGGGUUAGGGUCGUCGUUACAGCGGCCGUUUCCCCUGCUGCCCAAGAAGCAGGUCCACCGCACAGGGCCGCUGCCGCGGGCGGGCUUCUGCCGCUCGAGCCCGAGGACGACGUCGCCGGAGAGGCGGCUCCUCCACCUCAGAGGGAUGCAGUUGAAGCCAGCGGCCUCAGAGGCCCCGCCCUGCCUGUUCACCCGGCUGGGCCCGCGGAGCCACCUGCCGAGGACGCCCAGGUCGCUACAACACAUAGCUGACUUCCUUGCUGCGGUCGAACAGCUUCUUGUUUUACAACCUACGCAUACACACACUAAACCUUCAGUUCGUAGCACCUCUUCAACUACAGAACUUCUUAUUCUAAGUCUUUGACGUCAAGAAGAAACACGAACGAGACAAGACGAAACAGUAAAGUGUGAGAACCUUUACUAACAGCACUUCUUCUUCUCCUUCUUCUUCUUCUUCUUCUUCGAUCAAACACUUCCUC